rnacentral:rRNA from 1 species
GAUGAACGCUGACAGAAUGCUUAACACAUGCAAGUCGAUGGGGAAGUGGUGCUUGCACCAUGGCAACCAUGGCGGACGGGUGAGUAACGCGUAAGGGACUUACCUGCAGGACUGGGAUAACAGGGGGAAACUCCUGACAAGACCGGAUAAUGUCAUGGAGCUGCAUGGCUUUAUGAUGAAAGGAGACGCCUGCGGAGAGCCUUGCGUCCUAUUAGCUAGUUGGUGAGGUAAUGGCUCACCAAGGCGAAGAUAGGUAGCCGGCCUGAGAGGGUGGACGGCCACAAGGGGACUGAGAUACGGCCCUUACUCCUACGGGAGGCAGCAGUGGGGAAUAUUGGACAAUGGGGGCAACACUGAUCAAGCACUUCUGUGUGCACGAAGAAGGUUUUCGGAUUGUAAAGUGCUUUCAGCAGGGAAGAAGUAAGUGACGGUACCUGCAGAAGAAGCGACGGCUAAAUACGUG